UUAAUGCAGAAAUCACUAUCAUUAAUACUAUCCUCAUCACUAUCACCAAAGUUGCUCCAUUCAUCAAAUGAACAAUCACUUUCUGAUCCAUCUUCAACAUCUUCUUCAACAUGAGCCUUGUUUUCUUCAACCCCUCCACUUACAUUUCCAUCAUGAGGCUCACUGAUUCCCUACUCACUAUCACCAACUACAUUUGUAUUCUGCUUCACUUGCUUCCCCUGUCCAUCUACAUCU
rnacentral:lncRNA from 1 species